rnacentral:rRNA from 1 species
GAUGAACGCUGGCGGCGUGCUUAACACAUGCAAGUCGAACGAAGCACCUUAUUCUGAUUUCUUCGGAAUGAAAAAUUUGGUGACUGAGUGGCGGACGGGUGAGUAACGCGUGGGUAACCUGCCUCAUACAGGGGGAUAACAGUUAGAAAUGACUGCUAAUACCGCAUAAGACCACAGCACCGCAUGGUGCAGGGGUAAAAACUCCGGUGGUAUGAGAUGGACCCGCGUUGGAUUAGCUAGUUGGUGGGGUAACGGCCCACCAAGGCGACGAUCCAUGGCCGGCCUGAGAGGGUGAACGGCCACAUUGGGACUGAGACACGGCCCAG